UACAGAGGGUGCAAGCGUUGUUCGGAAUUACUGGGCGUAAAGCGCGUGUAGGUGGCGAUGUAAGUCGGGUGUGAAAGCCCUUGGCUUAACCAAGGAAGUGCACUCGAUACUGUGUCGCUUGAGUAUCGGAGGGGACGGCGGAAUUCCAGGUGUAGCGGUGAAAUGCGUAGAUAUCUGGAGGAACACCGGUGGCGAAGGCGGCAUCCUGGACCGGCACUGACGCUGAGGAGCGAAAGCCAGGGGAGCAAACGGG
rnacentral:rRNA from 1 species